UUAAGCUUCCUACGGGAGGCUGCAGUGGGGAAUCUUGCGCAAUGGGCGAAAGCCUGACGCAGCCAUGCCGCGUGAAUGAUGAAGGUCUUAGGAUUGUAAAAUUCUUUCACCGGGGACGAUAAUGACGGUACCCGGAGAAGAAGCCCCGGCUAACUUCGUGCCAGCAGCCGCGGUAAUACGAAGGGGGCUAGCGUUGCUCGGAAUUACUGGGCGUAAAGGGAGCGUAGGCGGACAUUUAAGUCAGGGGUGAAAUCCCGGGGCUCAACCUCGGAAUUGCCUUUGAUACUGGGUGUCUUGAGUAUGAGAGAGGUGUGUGGAACUCCGAGUGUAGAGGUGAAAUUCGUAGAUAUUCGGAAGAACACCAGUGGCGAAGGCGACACACUGGCUCAUUACUGACGCUGAGGCUCGAAAGCGUGGGGAGCAAACAGGAUUAGAUACCCUUGUAGUCGAAUUCU
rnacentral:rRNA from 1 species